AGCUUUGCACAGUGGCAGUAUCAUAGCCAAUGGGGUUUAUCCGAGGCACGAUUAUUGGUAAUUGAAUAAAUAAAUUUAACAUGUUAAUGAAUUUAAUCCUCACAACAACUCAGAAGUAUAUUAAAAAAUUCCAUUUUAUAAGUGAG